rnacentral:rRNA from 1 species
UCCAGACUCCUACGGGAGGCAGCAGUGAGGAAUAUUGGUCAAUGGCCGAGAGGCUGAACCAGCCAAGUCGCGUGAGGGAGGACGGCCCUACGGGUUGUAAACCUCUUUUGUCAGGGAGCAAGGGACAGGUCGUGACCUGUUGUGAGAGUACCUGAAGAAAAAGCAUCGGCUAACUCCGUGCCAGCAGCCGCGGUAAUACGGAGGAUCCGAGCGUUAUCCGGAUUUAUUGGGUUUAAAGGGAGCGUAGAUGGGUUGUUAAGUCAGUUGUGAAAGUUUGCGGCUCAACCGUAAAAUUGCAAUUGAUACUGGCAGCCUUGAGUACAGUUGAGGUAGGCGGAAUUCGUGGUGUAGCGGUGAAAUGCUUAGAUAUCACGAAGAACUCCGAUUGCGAAGGCAGCCUACUAAACUGCCACUGACAUUGAUGCUCGAAAGUGUGGGUAUCAAACAGGAUUAGAUACCCGUGUAC